UCCUACGGGAGGCAGCAGUGAGGAAUCUUGCCCCAAGGGAGAAAGCCCGACCCCCCCCCCCCCCGUGGCGGAAGAAGGCCCUAUGGGUUGUAAACGGCUUUUAAACAGGAAAAACGACCGGAUUUCCAUCUGGUGUGACGGUACUGCUUGAAAAACCACCGGCUAACUCCGUGCCCCCCCGCGGUAAUACGGAGGGUGCAAGCGUUGUCCGGAAUCAUUGGGUGUAAAGGGUGCGUAGGCGGGCGUCUAAGUCUGGGGUGAAAUCUUGCCGCUUAACGGUAAAAUGGCCUUGGAUACUGGGCGUCUUGAGUGUAGAAGAGGUAAGUGGAAUUCGUAGUGUAGCGGUGAAAUGCAUAUAUAUUACAACGAACAUCACUGGCGAAGGCUGCUUACUGGUCUACAACUGACGCUGAGGCACGAAAGCGUGGGGAGCGAACAGGAUUAGAUACCCUGGUAGUCCACGCUGUAAACGAUGCAUACUAGGUGUUGGCCUUUCGGGGCCAGUGCUGCAAUUAACGCAUUAAGUAUGCCACCUGGGGAGUACGUCUGCAACGAAGAAACUCA
rnacentral:rRNA from 1 species